AUGCACGCUGGCGGCGUGCCUAAUACUUGCAAGUCGAGCGAACGGACGAGAAGCUUGCUUCUCUGAUGUUAGCGGCGGACGGGUGAGUAACACAUGGAUAACCUACCUAUAAGACUGGGAUAACUUCGGGAAACCGGAGCUAAUACCGGAUAAUAUUUUGAACCGCAUGGUUCAAAAGUGAAAGACGGUCUUGCUGUCACUUAUAGAUGGAUCCGCGCUGCAUUAGCUAGUUGGCAAGGUAACGGCUUACCAAGGCAACGAUGCAUAGCCGACCUGAGAGGGUGAUCGGCCACACUGGAACUGAGACACGGUCCAGACUCCUACGGGAGGCAGCAGUAGGGAAUCUUCCGCAAUGGGCGAAAGCCUGACGGAGCAACGCCGCGUGAGUGAUGAAGGUCUUCGGAUCGUAAAACUCUGUUAUUAGGGAAGAACAUAUGUGUAAGUAACUGUGCACAUCUUGACGGUACCUAAUCAGAAAGCCACGGCUAACUACGUG
rnacentral:rRNA from 1 species